rnacentral:rRNA from 1 species
GACGAAGGGGGCUAGCGUUGCUCGGAAUUACUGGGCGUAAAGCGCGUGUAGGCGGCUGUUCAAGUUGGGCGUGAAAGCCUUGGGCUUAACCCAAGAAAUGCGCUCAAUACUGGAUAGCUAGAGGACCGGAGAGGAUAGUGGAAAUUCCCAGUGUAGUGGUGAAAUACGUAGAGAUUGGGAAGAACACCAGUGGCGAAGGCGGCUAUCUGGACGGUUUCUGACGCUAAGACGGACGAAAAGCGUGGGGAGCAAACAG